AAAUCUAUACUCUUCUGAGGUGCCUGUCUAUGCAGGUAAUAAUCGGAAUACGGUGCAAAUCCGUAGCGGUCAAGCCACUGUGAUGCCGCAAGGCUAAGUCAGGUUGAUUUCCUCAGUUGAUAUAUUCCU
rnacentral:ncRNA from 2 species